GCAAAACGCGAAGAACCUUACCCACCUUUGACAUGGCAGGAACUUACCAGAGAUGGUUUGGUGCUCGAAAGAGAACCUGCACACAGGUGCUGCAUGGCUGUCGUCAGCUCGUGUCGUGAGAUGUUGGGUUAAGUCCCGCAACGAGCGCAACCCUUGCCAUUAGUUGCUACAUUCAGUUGAGCACUCUAAUGGGACUGCCGGUGACAAACCGGAGGAAGGUGUGGAUGACGUCAAGUCCUCAUGGCCCUUAUAGGGUGGGGCUACACACGUCAUACAAUGGCUGGUACAAAGGGUUGCCAACCCGCGAGGGGGAGCUAAUCCCAUAAAGCCAGUCGUAGUCCGGAUCGCAGUCUGCAACUCGACUGCGUGAAGUCGGAAUCGUUAGUAAUCGUGGAUCAGAAUGUCACGGUGAAUACGUUCCCGGGUCUUGUACACACCG
rnacentral:rRNA from 1 species